rnacentral:lncRNA from 1 species
AAGAGGAACCAUCGGUCCGCCUCCUCUUGUAAACUCCUGAUCCUCGUCUGGUGGACAUGGUACCUGAAAAGGAAACUUUUAGUACUAAGGAUCAACAAAAUUCUGGCAGCAUAACAGCAUAAAAUGAACAAACCAAACGAUUUAACUCGAUAAAAUUAAACUGUUCAAUGUCCUGCAAAGAAAAUUUAAUCCACAACACUGCCAAGCAAUGCUAAC